AGCGAACGCUGGCGGCAGGCCUAACACAUGCAAGUCGAACGAACUCUUCGGAGUUAGUGGCGGACGGGUGAGUAACACGUGGGAACGUGCCUUUAGGUUCGGAAUAACUCAGGGAAACUUGUGCUAAUACCAAACCGGCCCUUCGGGGGAAAGAUUUAUCGCAUUUCAAGGGGCCCGCGUCUGAUUAGCUAGUUGGUUAGGUAAGGGAUCACCAAGGCGACGAUCAGUAGCUGGUUUGAGAGGAUGAUCAGCCACAUUGGGACUGGGAGGCGGCCCAAACUCCUACGGGAGGCAGCAGUGGGGAAUCUUGCGCAAUGGGCGAAAGCCUGACGCAGCCAUGCCGCGUGAAUGAUGAAGGUCUUAGGAUUGUAAAAUUCUUUCACCGGGGACGAUAAUGACGGUACCCGGAGAAGAAGCCCCGGCUAACUUCGUG
rnacentral:rRNA from 1 species